CUGAGCUUUGGGGCUAAUAUCCACUUACCAUGCCUGUGCUUAGGAUCCCCACCCACUCAUUCCACACCCAGAUGCAGCUUGAUCCCCAGGAGUCCUGGCACAUCCAAGAUCAAAGAUUCUGGGAGCCUUGGGAGCAGCAACCUUGAGAGGAGCUAUUGUGAGACACUAAUACCUGUGAGAUCUGAACAAAUGUCUGUUCACUUCAGUAUGACUAUUGCCGAAGUCCAACUUGAUGAACCAAUUGGUGACUUGUGGGAAUUGAUGAAACACCUUGUGUCCUAGGAGCUUCCCUCCAAGAUGGAAUGUUGUAUCUCAACAAAUUGCUGGACACCAGGAGCUUAUGGUACAACUCUA